UCUUCGUCCUUUGUCCCUCUCGACAAACCGAGCUAGACGAGGGAAUUUCGUUCUUUCAUAAAAUUCCACAGGGCUUGUCCCCACUACUUCCCCUACUACUUCCCCACUACUUCCCCCACUACUUCCAACGCCAAACGUUUAUCAGGCCGUUUAUUCCACCACGCUACCAGUGUACUCAUUGGGUCGUGAAUCACGUGGUGUUGUGCCGUCAUUUCGAGUUCGGGCUCGCAACGAGCAACAGCGCGCGCGGUGAAUCAACAGUUCUUGUCGAACCGUUUUGAUACUUGUUACGUUUAUGAAUCUCAAUCUGGUUCAACGCUAUUAUAAUUCUUCCGUUGCUGUUUCGUGAUGUUUCAUUAACCACGAUCGAAUCGAACGGACUUUGCGAUCAAAUAAUCGUGACUGUGAAAGUAUACGCAAUAUGUUCACGUGAUAAAACGGAUCUUCUGCUUCACACGACAGAAAACAAAACAAACAGUGGCAACGUUGAAUCUGCAUAAGCCGAUCGAAUACCACGGGACUCAACAGAAUGAUCGAAUUCUCCCUACGAUAUUCGAUCAUCCUCUGGAUGGUCAUCGUUGCAACGUGUUAUGCAUUUAAGGGACAAUGUCCACAGCAAUACGCCUGCACCUGUCUUUCGUCGCCAAACGGAGACUAUGAGAUACACUGCCCAACAGACGAGAAUUCGGCCUUCAUCAUAGACGUUCAGCAACAUGUUUUUAUUAAGACUCAGUGCCGUAAUUCACCGCAAUGGACCGACUUCCACGUAAACGGUUUAACAUCCACGGACGACAUAGAAUCUAUAUACUUCAGGAUGUGCACGUUACCGACGAACCUGAGUCUAGGAGAAAUCGCGAGGAGAUUCGGCGUACGAAGCGUAAAGACUCUGGUGUUCGAGUCAUUUGAACAACUAGGCCCGGCGAUCAACAGAACACACCUACAAGAAUUACCAGAUCUACAACACUUAACUUUAUCCAGCAACGGUUUAACCAACCUUAGCAGCGAUCUUUUUGCUGAUAUACCUCAACUGGUCUGGCUCGAUUUACGCGAGAACCGCGUACAUUUGUCACCUGGGAUCUUCAAAUAUACACCGAAUUUAGAGGUGCUCGAAUUGGGUAUGAAUAUGAUGGGCAACAUCGAACCAAGUAUAUUAAAUCCAUUAGGGAAACUGCGAUUUUUGAAUUUAUGGCAGAACAAGUUUACGGAGAUCAAGCCAGGUACAUUUGACAAGCUCGAGACUCUGAAUUCCUUGGACCUGAACGGAAACGAAUUAACUACCCUGCCAAAAGAUAUUUUCGCGAAAUUGAAGAAUCUGGAGGCGUUAAAUUUGUUUUCCAACAAUUUUUCAUCGUUGCCAGAAGGUCUACUAGAGCAUAAUGUCAGAUUGAGAGAGGUGAAUUUGUAUGCUAAUAAAAGAAACAUGACUACAUUGCCGAAUAGAUUGUUCGCGAAUUUGAAGGAGCUCGUUACAGUGGAAUUAAGAAGCAAUGGUUUGAAGAAAGUGCCAGCUGAUCUAUUUCGAGGUUCCUUUUCAUUGAACAACAUUAGCUUGCAGAGAAACUUUAUUGAAUCACUCCCUAAAGACCUGUUUAACGGAUUGGAACAUCUAUCGAAAUUGUUACUUAAUUACAACGAAUUGACGUCAUUGCCUGAUGAAAUUUUCUUGCAUUUAAAACAUUUGGUUACAUUGGAUUUGUCUAAGAAUCAUCUUACUUCGAUAUCUAGAUCUAUCUUUAAAAGUUUAAAAUCACUGGAAUACCUGAAUAUGUCAGAAAAUAAAUUGAAAGUGAUAGAAGACACGAGUUUCUAUUCCUUGACUAAGCUACGGAUAGCGCAAUUCUCUCAUAAUUACCUUAAAUUUAAUGCCUCGAUUAAUACCUAUCCAGAUGAUUUUGGGAAUAAAUCAGUUUUUCAUACUUGUACUGCUUUACAAGAGUUACAUUUGGCCAGGAAUAAUAUUUCGGAAAUAUAUAGUGAUUGGACCAUAGGCAGUUUAAAGCUGCGAAUUUUGGAUCUCCGAUACAACCAGAUAACGCAAAUAUCGGCCGAAAAUCUACAAUUUCUAUCGAAUGAUAUUAAAGUGAAUCUUACACACAAUCGAAUAAAAUAUAUCUACUUAUCUACAGCUGAAAGAUUGGCGAAAUUUCAAACGAAUCCUCGUAACGUAAUAAUAUACGUUGAAAAUAAUCCUAUUGUCUGCGACUGCGAUUUAUACGACUUUCUUCGUUACAUGGACGGAAGAAUGCACCCCUACGUACAAAACUUUUUCCAUAUAAUACCGGGACACCUGAAAUGUCAAAGUCCAGACUGGCUUGCAGAUAUAGAAAUAGUAAAUUUGAAAUCAAAGAAAUUAAAGUGUCAAGUAUCAGAUCCUUGUCCUGACGAGUGCAAGUGUUGGUUAAAACGCGACAGUAAAGCAUUUCUAAUUGAUUGUUCGCACCAAAACUUGACACAUGUGCCACAUUUGACAAACAUCACGACUUUGCCAUCUGAAGUAUUUCAGAAACUCGAGUUAAAUCUCACAGGCAAUAAACUGACCAGAAUGUCGCCAGUAGCUAAAAUCGGUUCGAGCAAUAUGCAAAUAUCCAAAUUGCUGUUGUCGAACAAUAAUAUCGAUGACAUAUCUGUAGAUGAGUUGCCAUUGAACAUUGAGGUUUUGGAGCUACACAACAAUAAUAUUAGCAGAUUGAACUCAGAUGUUUUGCAAUUCAUGAACAAUACCUCCUUAAUGACAGUGACAUUAGACGGAAAUCCAUGGAUAUGUGACUGCGACACAAGAGAUUUUCUCAAUUUCAUUCAAACGAAAGUUAUAGAAAUCCCCAAUUCCUUGAAGAUUACCUGCAGAGACAUGAACGUGCCGAUGUUGAAGAUGACAGCGACAGAUCUUUGUUCCACGAACAUUAUAAUAAUAAUCGUGAUCAGCGUGGUCACAGCUAUCACUGGUCUAAUAAUCGGUGUGCUAGCAGCGCUAUAUUACCGAUAUCAACGAGAAAUCAAAGUUUGGCUAUACGCACAUCAACUUUGCUUGUGGUUAGUAACCGAGGACGAACUAGACAAAGAUAAGCUGUACGAUGCAUUCAUAAGUUAUUCACAUAAAGACGAAGACUUCAUCGUGAACGAGCUAGUGCCACAACUAGAGAGUGGUCCAAGGCCGUUCAAACUGUGUCUGCACUUUCGUGAUUGGUUAGCUGGAGAGUGGAUACCGACACAAAUCGCGCGAUCCGUUCAGGAUUCUAGGCGGACAGUAGUAGUUUUAUCACCUAACUUUUUGGAGAGUGUUUGGGGACGAAUGGAGUUUAGAGCAGCUCAUAGUCAAGCUCUCAGCGAAGGUAGAGCGCGAGUUAUUUUAAUUUUGUACGGCGAAAUUGGUCCUACAGACGAUUUGGAUCCAGAACUUAAGGCGUAUUUGAGUAUGAACACAUAUGUGAAAUGGGGUGACCCUUGGUUUUGGGAUAAAUUGCGAUAUGCGUUACCACAUGCGCUACCACAUAAGCUAUCACGUGAGGUAUCAAAUCCUUCACAAUUAGCAAAGUAUCGUGUAUGUAGAAGAUUCUUUGCAAAUCCGUGCAUACAAAUUAACGGCGAGAAGAAAGACCUUAUUUAUCCGAAUGGUGUUCCUGAAACACCCCCUGCAGCGAGCACUCCACCGGCAGAUUCUCUUAAAGCAUUUAUAUGCGAUGAGAAAAACAGUAAAGAACAUUUUGAAAAUCUGUCCCCAACAAAUAACGCCAAGCUCAUUCUUUUGCCUGAGGACUUAAUAAAGCAUAAUCUCCUUAAUAAGGUACAAUGUACCACAGUGUAAUGAGAUCAUCGUAUACGUCCAAGAAUAUACGAAACAUUUUCAAGGCAGAACUAUUCUUUAAACAAAAACCUCAAAUUACUCAUUUUGUGUCUGUGUUUGUGAAACCACUUACAAGAAUUACCAAAUUUAUAACAUUUAACUUUAUCUGUUAACGAUUUGACCAACUUAAGCAACGAUGCUUAUCUACCUCAACUAGUCUAACUCGAUUUGGCUUAUUCACUAAGAGUUUGGGAAAAAGUCACGUUUCCACAAUUGUACUGUUUUACAAGAAUUACAUUUGACCAAAAACAAUAUUUCGAGAAUAUGUAGUGAUUGGACCAUAGCCAGUUUACAGCUACAAAUUUUGGAUCUCCAAUUUCUAUCAGAUAACGCAAAUAUUGGCCAAAGAUCUGCCAUUCCUAUCCAAUGACAUUAACGUGAAUCUUACAUAUAUAAUAAUAGAAUAAAACACAUCUAAUCUUCAGCCGAGAGAUUAGCGCAAUUUAAUCGUAACGUAAUAAUAUACAUUGAAAACAAUCCUAUUGUUUACAAUUGUGAUUUAUACGACUUUCUUCGUUACAUGGAUGGAAGAAUACAUCCCUACGUACCAAAUUAACUUGCAAUCGUAGAAAUAGCAAAGUUGAGGUUAAAAAAGUUAAGAUGCAAGAUAUUGUAUCCUUGUUCUGACAAGUGCGCACGUGUUGGUUGAAACGCGACAAUAAAGCAUUUCUAAAUGGUCAUUCACGCAAACAUUUGACACAUAUUCCACGAAAUAAUCUCACCCCAUAAACUCGAAUUAAAUCUCACAGGCAAAAAACUGAUCAGAAUACUACUAAAUAAUAUAUAAAUAUCCAUAUGUAGUGCAAUGCUGAAAAUUCUUUAUCAUCUUUACUCUAUUAUCUCUGUUAUAAGUUUAUGAAUUUGUUUUAUAAAACUUUAAAUAUCACCAGAAGUAAACGUCGAGGACAAAUUACAUGUAAUGACUGAAGAAACUUAGUUUUAAAUUGCUGAGAUUACUGUAAAUAAGUAUUUUUUGUAAUUUUAAAUGACUUCUAAUUUAUAAUAAGUUUCUGCUACUAUAGUGAAGUAGAUUAUUAUUAUAAAAAUAGGAUAAAUAUUGAGCUAAAUAUUUUUUAGAAUUAUUUUUGUACCAUAAAAUUUAUUUCUGCUUAGUGUAAACUUUAUGUAUGUAUACCAUGAAUUUCUGUCUAUCACUAUAAGAUAAAGUUCCAUAAUAAUUUUAUUUAGUAAUUGUAAAUAAUCGAUCAAUAUUUAGCAUAUAACAUUCAUGAGAUAUAAUUCAGUAUACAUACAUAAAAUAGAAAUUAAUAGCAAUAUAAUUGUCACAAUCUAUCUUACCAUUCAUUUUAAUUUUCAAUAUAAGCCUAGGGUCACAUACGAAUUUAUAUUGCACAUAAGUAGAUAUGGUACAUUACUAUAUAUUGAUUAUUUUAUUGCUCAAUUUUAUGAGUAAUUUUAUUAUUUGAUGAGCUCGAUAAUUUUUUUACAAUCAUUAUUAAAAAUCGAAAGUAAACUGUCCAUCUUUCAAUAAAAGACAGCCAUAAAGACACUAAUUAGAAAUUUCGAUUAAAAAAAUAAAGAAUCUCACUAUAAAUUGAUAAUUUCGCUAUUAAUAAUUUUUUAUUGUAUUAUACUUCGAUAUGUUAACCCUUAACGGUCGAUAGUUUAUUUUACAAUACUCACCUCUAAAACUACAGAAUAUUGGCUAAACUAUAGCAUAAAUAAAUAAAUACAAAUGGAAACGAAAUUCUUUAUGUUUCUGUAGUAGAACUGUGCUAUGAGUGUGAUAAGUAUGAGGCUUCUUACAGCCGGGCGCUUCGACCAUUAAGGGCGCAAAUAAUUUUAUUAUACAGUUAUUAUUUAAAAAGUACCUGAGAAAUAAAUAUUCAUAUAAUCUUUCAUAAA